GAUGUCUAAUAACUAUGAUAAUUGGGAAAGACUUGUGGAAGUUGUUCUUCGCAGGGAACAAGACAGGCAACUUGCUUUAAUUUCCUCGAGGGAACCAAGUAUCAGCUCAAUAUCUGGGUGGAGUACUCCGAUUAGUGAUGAUCGGAAUGUUACUAUAUCUGGGAGGAGCACUCCGAUUAGUGAUGAUCGGAAUGUUCAACUUGGAUCUUCUUCUUCAAGUACAGUAAAUGAAACCGAUUGGGAGGGAUUGUUGCCGCCUGAUUAUAAGGACAUCAUCUCCAGAUCUGUGAAUCCUGUGGUCUAUGCAACCAUGGAAG
rnacentral:lncRNA from 1 species